rnacentral:tRNA from 1 species
GCCUCAGGUGGUCAAGGAAGUGGCCCCGGUCCCGGUCCUGGCGGCCGGCGGUAUCGGCAGCGGCCAGCAGAUCGCCGCGGCUCUGGCGCUC